AUUGAACGCUGGCGGCAUGCUUUACACAUGCAAGUCGAACGGUAACAGGCCGCAAGGUGCUGACGAGUGGCGAACGGGUGAGUAAUGCAUCGGAACGUGCCCAGUCGUGGGGGAUAACGCAGCGAAAGCUGUGCUAAUACCGCAUACGAUCUGUGGAUGAAAGCGGGGGACCGUAAGGCCUCGCGCGAUUGGAGCGGCCGAUGUCAGAUUAGGUAGUUGGUGGGGUAAAGGCUCACCAAGCCGACGAUCUGUAGCUGGUCUGAGAGGACGACCAGCCACACUGGGACUGAGACACGGCCCAGACUCCUACGGGAGGCAGCAGUGGGGAAUUUUGGACAAUGGGCGCAAGCCUGAUCCAGCAAUGCCGCGUGCAGGAAGAAGGCCUUCGGGUUGUAAACUGCUUUUGUACGGAGCGAAAAGGCUCUCUCUAAUACAGGGGGCUCAUGACGGUACCGUAAGAAUAAGCACCGGCUAACUACGUGCCAGCCGCCGCAGUAAUAC
rnacentral:rRNA from 1 species